GUAUGCUGGGAGGACCAAGCCGGAGGUUCCCACUAUGAGCCCGGAGUCUGUGCAGCCAGAUGACGCAUGAGGAAGCUCAAACUGAGGCAGAAUCACAGCGAUUUGGAAAAUGGUCCAAUCAGCUAUAGUGGAAGAGCAGAAUCAUUGAAUAUAAAACAUGGAGAUGUCAGCAGCAGGGGCUGUGAGCUGAACAGCUUCACUGGGAAGAGGAUAUGGGUGAGAAGGUACAGCAAUGGGUACCUCCAUUAACAGUUACCAGAGUCAUGUUUUGAAAUCUCAAAUCUGAGCAUCUAUCCUCAAAUAGAGGCCUACAUGGCUUCCAGUUCCUCCAGGAGAAGGUCCAAAUCCCUUAAGAUGACUUUAAGGCCCUCAAGUGUUCCAGGCUCUGUACGUUCUUGUGCCACAACUAUGCCACAACAAAACAGUUUUUCCCCCAUUUCUACUUUGUUUUUCCAGCUGUAGAGUCAAAGCCUCAAGAAGGGGAAAGGGACGAAUGGACACCAGGUCAUGUGCCAGGUAGCUGGGAAAUGAAUACUUCUAUUUUCUAUUCUUUUUUUUU
rnacentral:lncRNA from 10 species